rnacentral:lncRNA from 1 species
GCUGCAGCGGCGGUAUUGUUUGGGGUCUAGACGCAGGUACUUCCGCAGCGCAGAUGAGGGUAGGUUUAUGUAUUGUCGGGCCUUUUGUGAGGAUGCAGGGCAAACCAUGGUGUCCAGAAGUCCGUCCUCCCUCACAGUCACAGUCAUUUGCCGGCUCUCAUCUAGGAGUUCCUUCAGGAUGGCAUCAUCAGCAUUGAGCUCCCAGUCGGAGGGCCAUAAGUCAGACUCGGAGUCUUCCUCAUACCCUUCCAGGGUGGACACUUCUGCGGCUGCAUCUGUAGAGGCUGAGUUCCUUCUUGCUGUGCCCCCUGCUGCUACUGCUUCGGUCUGUGCUGUGGCUGCUGCCCUGGCUCUAGUCUCUGCCUUCACUGUGACCAUG